GUAACUUCAAAAACGAAUAAGAAAUAACAGUUUUUGUGUGAGGACACAGUCUUGUAAAAAAAAAAAAAAUCGGUUUCCUAUUGAACAUACUUCUUUCCAAAAUAAAUAUUCUAGUUUGAUUACAUUUUAGGGUGUCUGAGUAGUAAAUACAAAUGUAUUUUGACUUGUUGAAACAAAGUUUAAGGGGUAGAUUUUCGGAUUCCUUUCUCUGCAAGUUGAAUGAGUGGAUUACUCAUUGAUGGCGCCAACUAAACUGACUUUUUUGGGAUAUAAAAAAUGAUUUUAUCUAACAAAACUACAUGCUGGGACCCUCUUGAUGACAAAUCAGAGGAAAAUUUUCAAAAAGUCACCAGGCUGCUCGUUAUGCCGCACACAUCGUUACUCACACCUGCGGGUCAUCAGACUCACCUGGACUCCAUCACUUCCCUGAUUACCUUCCCUACAUAUGUCACUCCCUUUGGUUCCUUCCCCAGGCGUUAUUGUUUAUGUCUCAGUUUC
rnacentral:lncRNA from 1 species